GCACAUUAUGCUUUUGACCGCAUUUUAUUCUCAUUUUUAUGUGAGGGUUCAUGUAUCGACAUUCUUUUCCCAAAUGGUUAGAAUGCCAAAUAAAUAAAAGGAAAAGUAAUUAGGCUGCCAUGGAACAUUGAAGAUUCUGCUAGGUGUAAAGUUAUAGCUUGGCAACUCCAUCAAGUAUCACGAAACCUGCCUUUGAAGGUAUGCAAAAGAGGUAAAGAAGUGUCUCCCAAAUGACAAAAUUGGGGUUUUGGUCCAGCAUUUCCACAUCCAACGUAUGCUCCAAACUCAAAAGCCCAAAUCACAUGAGCAACCUCAAUGCAGGAAAACAAAUGCCCCAUCACUCACAUCUCUAGCGAGUGAAUCACAAUUACUAACAUCAGAUCAACUCUUGAUUGUCUAACUCUAAGGUCAGACAGUGUUGCACGCGCUUCAAUAGCAAGUGCUUUUGAACAUGUGGUAACAAUUCUGUCAGCUUUACCUUGUUCUGAUCUUAGGACUCGCCACCCAAAACCAAGAAGCCAAUAAAGAAACAGAGAAGGAGAUAUAGUUUUACAGACGAGCCCAAGCAUAACGAGAGAAAAUCAAAGCUUUGUUUGAAGAGCAUAUGCAACUUGAACAUGGAAAACAAAGAAGAAGAAGAAUCUGCACCGGUAACAACAGAGCCAUCAUCAACAUAUCAGUUAUUCCUAACAAUUAUGAGCAAAAGGAGAACAUGGGUAUGUCUUUUUGUGUUAGUAUAUGCAAUCCUCUUAUCAUCCUCAUGGAAUUUCCUUAAAUCCAUACUUUCUUGGUACAAAGAGCAAGCCCAAGUCACUUCUGCCUCUUCUGGGUGGCCUGCCUUGUAUGCAUCAGUGCUUCUAGGUGCAGUUUUUGGACUUCUUUCAAUGGUUGCAGCUCUUGCAGUGGCUGUGCCAGCCACCUUGGUUAUAUGGAUCUCAGUUGUGGUCUUAUUGGCUUUCUUUGGGAAGCCAAGAAGGGCCUUGGUGAUUGAAGGAAGGAAGAUCACAAGAGAAAUUCUUGGGUUUGUGUUUAAGAUUUUGUUAAAGGAAGGGAAUGUUGUGGCUGCUGUUUGUGCUGUUCUGGGCUACUUUGCUCUGGUUAGAAGGAAUUAUGAAGGUGAUUGAGGGCUUUUUGUUUCAAUUUGCUGGGAUAAUUGUUUAGGACAGAUGGUAAUGGAUUUGUGGAAAUUUCCCCUUUGUCCUGAGCAAGUGUUUGAUAAUUUUCUUUUUUGUUUUGGGGGGUUUGAAUUAGGGAUAAGAACUGGGAAAACUGUGUAACUGUAUUACUGGUUGGUUAGUUUUCUAAUUCCGCUGUAAUAUAUAUGUUCUUUCUAAUCAAUUUGAUGGGCAGUUCUGUUUUAUUUUUAAAUACAGAUAGAUAAAUUUUCGUCAUAUAAAAUAAUUUUAAAAUGCAUUUUCCUGAGGUGUCCUCUUUUUGAGCAUGGGACCUGGAUGGGAGAAGAACAAAAAAAAUUGCGGUUUAGAUUCUAAUUAAGCAGUUAUGACAAAUGUUCAGAAUCAAAUUGAUUAUAUACAGAGGGGCCUUCUUCUGCAAGUUGUCAGGACUCAGGACCAUAUGCAUGCAUAAUCUGGGAGCUGCAGGAGAGGACGGUCUAUAGCAAUGGACCUUUGUGUAGCGUUGUGCAAAUAGCAGGCGUAAGUAACUAAUGUCCACAAGCUACUUGUAGCCUGCAAGGGAGCAAUUAGAACUACCGUGGUAGAAACUGAUAAUUGUCUCAUUAGUCAUUCAGGAACAAAGAGAUUGCAGUUCAUGAAUGUUGUGACCUUUGGCAUUCCAAAAGAAGUUCUUGGCUUCUUGGUUCAACCAAAAAAAAAAAAGAUUAGGA
rnacentral:misc_RNA from 1 species